UCGAGUCUUUGAACGCAAGUUGCGCCUGAAGCCAUUAGGUUGAAGGCACGUCUGCCUGGGCGUCACGC
rnacentral:rRNA from 1 species